rnacentral:lncRNA from 7 species
ACUUCAGUCAUCGGGCGAGCAGCUCUGCAAGGGGGCUAUUUUUACAUCCCGAACGACCUGAUCGGGAGCGAGGCAUUAAAUGCAGGCCUUUUGUGUCUCAGGAGAAGGAUCUGCAUCACAUGUGUUCCAGACUGGCUUCUGAAACUUUCCUCUUGGAGCUGAUCCACUUCUGGGGAUAUAAAUACUACCAAGUGAAUGUACAUGUUAAAAUUGUUCAGUGAUGGAAGCAUCUCUGCAAGGAGAAUCUCCUUUUUGUGAAGAACAGCCGUUUAUUUAUUUGAGGAAUCAAAAGGAUGCUGUUUCUGUAAGGAAAUUCAUCCUAGGUCCAAUUUUUUUUUUUGGCAUUUUUGUUGUCUUUUGGACAUACUCCAAACAGCUAUCUAGGUCAGCAUCUGACUGACAGGAGAAUCUAAUUUCUAUGUGCAUAACCUGCUCUUAUUCCAGUUAAGCAUCCUAAAUUAUGCUGGGUAGCACACCCUGUGAGUUAGAUAUGACAAUGCUUAGCUCUAUGAACGCAUCUAACUGGAGGUCCUUAAGCUGAGUCUGAUGUUCUUCGCAUCCUUUAUUCUGCAGUUUGACCUAAACAAAUAUCUGAUUGAAAUGGGGCCUACAGGCUUGACUUUGUUUUAGAGCUGUGUCUUUCAGGGAAUUUUCAGUCCUUUUUGUUAUCUUCUCUGACAAACGAGAAGAUAAAUUAAGUAUAUGUUCAAAACCAGAUGAGGAGUUAAAAUUACAGCUUGCUUCAUUGCAGUUUCUGCAGUAUCUGCAUCAGGAUCUGCACUUGUGCAAUGACUUAGAGGACCUUGCCCUUCUGAGCAGAGAUGUUAUACGAGCAACAUAAACAGAGGACCAAAAUAUGGCCUUAAUUAGAAAGAAAAAUUAAUUGUAGUGUCAACAAUAAUGCAAGACGGUGUAACGUUAGCUGCUGGACUGCAUACAGAAGAAAUCAAACGGUGAGAGUGAAGUUAUUUACUCAGUUCUAAGCCUCUGAGAAAGCUGGAUUUCAGCCAGUGCCCAGCCUAGAAAGUUCCGCGGUUCCACCCAGGCCACUUCACUUCUUUGGUACUUACACUGGUUGUGUUUUUGCUUUACUCCUCGGGUCUGAUUUUGCAGUUACUGUCAAUGCGUUACUUUUUCUUUCUCUUGAGAAUGGAAGUCUACAGAAUAAUACAUUCUGAUAUCCUUUCUAGAGUGUAACAUGUUCCUUUCAUUGCACAGUGACUGGUUUCAGGUGUAUUUCAGCUGCUUUACUUGUCUGCUUCCUUAAAGCAGCUUAAUGGCUUUUAAAGGCUGUGUAAUAAAGUGUGACAG